rnacentral:lncRNA from 1 species
AUGGGGCCCCAGUCUGCCCAAAUCAGUUGGCAACCUGUGGACAAGGUUCUAGUCUACCAAGUUACAGUCAUGAAUUGGAAUUCCCUAAACACUACAGUUUAUUCAAACACUGUGUUUGGCACCACGUUGAAUGUGCCGAAUAUUUCACCCUGUUCUUCAUACCAAAUCUCAGUGUCUUCACUUAACGCUCUCUUGGAACCUGGAGAAACCAGGCAGGUCAACUUUACCACAAACACUCUGAAUCCAGUGACAUCGGUCUCAGUGAGCUACACCUGUGCUAGCGGCUCUGCUGUGGUCUCUUGGACAGCUGUGUUUGGAGCCACUUCCUACCGUGCCACUGCCACAAGUCGCAGCGGUGCAGUUCUGUCCUGCACCUCGAGCACUACAGAGUGCCAAAUCCGAAAUCUAGCAUGUGGGGAGAACUAUAAUGUGCACGUCACAACCCUGUCAAACAACUGUGAGAGCACUGGCAACGCCACCACAUCCUUCCAAACAGUUCCCUGUGCCCCAUCUGAUCUGAUGCUGUACCGGGAGUGCAGCAGCAAUGUCAUUGUCUUUUCCUGGGCUCCAAACAAUUACUCCGCUUUUUACUAUGCGAGGGGUGUGGACUCUACUGGCAAGGUGAUGGAAUGUAUGACCACGGACACAUCCUGCUUUUUUACCGAUACCACAUGUGGACGCCUUUACAACUUCACCGUCUCUGGUUCUUCAUCGUCAGUCAGAGAGCAGUGUAGCACUGCAACCAGUUCAUCAAUGCAAAUUCGAACUGGUAACAAUAAACAUUUCCUGUCAAAGUGUACUUGUGUUUAUCUUGACUGUAGGUUUUGUAAGCCUAAAUCUAGAUUUUAAACUUGACCAAACUCAAUAUAACAUGGCACUCAUACCUUAACGUGGUUAUGUUCCUAUAAUCUCCCCCCUUAGCACCCUGUCAUGCAAGCAACAUGCGCACAUCAGCGGACUGUCAGACUGGCCUUCUGACCAGCAGAUGGGAAGGUGCAGAUGGAGCGCAGCAGUACAUCGUGGAGGCCUUUGGUAACAGAGGGAAUCAGAGCCACUAUAUGUGUAGCUCACUGACACAGAGCUGCACAAUCUCCAAUGUAAACUGUGGAGAAAGUCUUACCAUGAUAAUCACUGCUUCGGAUGAUGAGUGCUCCAGUGUGCUGUCUUUGGGAGAAGUAGGUCAGACUGGUGAGUGAUAAAACCCCCCGGUAGACAAAAAUGGGAGCGUACACAUGAUUAGACUGUCAGGGCCAAUUUUAUUGCUAGCUUAAUUUAACUGAAAAAUAAUGUAAGUGGAAAAUACAUUUUGUUUAUGAAAUGGGUGUCAUGGUGGCUAUAGAGUGACACUUUUGUCUCACACCAAGAAGGUACCCGAGUCCCGCUGAGCUCAACUUUUCCUCAAAAUCCAAACACAUUAAGGAUUGGGUGACUGAAAACACUAAAGGCCCCGAUAUACUUUAAACAAAGUUCAUUUCUAUUCUUCAUUUGGAGGAAAAAAGAAGUUUGAAAAGGCUGAGCGACGAUAUACUGUUUCCGAACUUUCCAACAACCGUACGCUGCUGGAGGUGGGGUGUAGAUUAAUGUAAACAUGUAUCGCGAUGCUUGCACGUAUUCUCUAAGCACAACAGCAAUUAAAUUAUGAAUUGUAGGCAAUCUAGGUGUGAGACGUUUUACACCUAGUUUUACACCUAGUUUUACACCUCUUUAUAUUUUAUGUGGUGUCAUGAUUUAGUUUUAAUAUAAAAAAAGGUUUAUUACUGUAUGUUCCUUUGGCAUUUAAUUUAUUGUAUACCCUUUAAAAUUGCUUAUUGAAAGAACAACAGCACCAGCAGCAGUGUGGUGUAACAUUUAUUUGCUACCUUAUAUUUUUACUCUUCCCUUUCAUUCUUUUCAUGACUUUGGAAAACUUGUCUCAGAUGUUGCUCUACGUCACUUUUUGCAUAACUCCGGGUCGUCAAGACCAAGCUUCGCUGCAAUUUCUUUAUAGGAAUGAAAUACUUUCUCUGAAUACUCUCUGGGAUUGAUCGUACAGGUGCGGAUAUAUCUGCGACACUAGUUUAUUCAUGUUGCUAGUGAUUAUGAGAUGUUACUGAUAUUUUAUGUUAUAAAUUGAAAACAAACCAGGGAGAAAAAACAAUGCAUGUCAAAGAAAGUGAAGUUUCAGAACACACCCACUGACUGCGUAAUCGCCAAGGGCCAAUGGAGGCUCAAAGGUGUUUAGGAACAAAAUGAACACCCCCAGAAAGUUUCGAACUGCCGAAACAAACUCAAAACUAACUCACUAAUUCAGUCUGAUUUUGUUUGAAAUUACUUCAUAUCAGUUCGUUUUUCAAUUUCAUUUGAAUUAUAUUGGGGCCUUUAGGGCCAGAUUUACUAAACAGGGCGAAUUGGCACGAGUGUGCUAUCAAAAGUGCAGACAGAAGUGGAAAGUUCUGCAGCUGAUAUACUGACAAUGUAGAAAUCAAAGUUGGGACCUAGGCUCAAUACCCUGGAUAGGGCAAAGUGGUUUGGAGAAUGAUGAUACUGAGACCACUGUAGUUUGUGCGCCUGAUUUAGCUUCUGAAUUGGACUCCUCCCCCAUAAUUUCAUCAAUACACCUUAUCCCCAAAACUCUACCUUCCAAAGAAAUGCCAGCAAAACAAGAUGGCCUUAAUGAUGCUAUGCAGAGAAUAUUUCUGAUUGGCUGAGUGUUCUGAUUGGCUAAUGUUCGGGCAGCGCUCAGGUUCAUAUUUUUGUGACAUUUCAUACAUGCCUUACAUGUUCUUAUGUCAUUUUUUUUUCUAGCCCCCUGCGUACCUCAAAAUGUGUCUGCAUUGAUGGAGUGUGGUUCCGAUUCCAUCAGUCUGGCAUGGGAGCCUUCAUUAGGUGCUUUUCUCUACACUGCCACAGCGGUGGAUCAGUUCGGGACUGCUCACACUUGUACCUCAUCAGAUCCAAAGUGCAAGUUCAGCGGGCUCCGCUGUGGAUCCAUAUACAACGCCUCUGUGAUUGCAUCCAACAUCAACUGCAACAGCUCUGUCAGUGACUCCAUCAGUGUAGAAACAGGUAAAAAACAUAUGAAGAAAUACAAGAAUACAGUGACCCUGACACCUCAUAACUAUUUCCCUG